rnacentral:rRNA from 1 species
GAUGAACGCUGGCGGCGUGCCUAAUACAUGCAAGUCGAGCGAACGGACGAGAAGCUUGCUUCUCUGAUGUUAGCGGCGGACGGGUGAGUAACACGUGGAUAACCUACCUAUAAGACUGGGAUAACUUCGGGAAACCGGAGCUAAUACCGGAUGAUAUUUUGAACCGCAUGGUUCAAAAGUGAAAGACGGUCUUGCUGUCACUUAUAGAUGGAUCCGCGCUGCAUUAGCUAGUUGGUAAGGUAACGGCUUACCAAGGCAACGAUGCAUAGCCGACCUGAGAGGGUGAUCGGCCACACUGGAACUGAGACACGGUCCAGACUCCUACGGGAGGCAGCAGUAGGGAAUCUUCCGCAAUGGGCGAGAGCCUGACGGAGCAACGCCGCGUGAGUGAUGAAGGUCUUCGGAUCGUAAAACUCUGUUAUUAGGGAAGAACAUAUGUGUAAGUAACUGUGCACAUCUUGACGGUACCUAAUCAGAAAGCCACGGCUAACUACGUGCCAGCAGCCGCGGUAAUACGUAGGUGGCAAGCGUUAUCCGGAUUUAUGGGCGUAAAGCGCGCGUAGGCGGUUUUUUAGUCUGAUGUGAAAGCCCACGGCUCAACCGUGGAGGGUCAUUGGAAACUGGAAAACUUGAGUGCAGAAGAGGAAAGUGGAAUUCCAUGUGUAGCGGUGAAAUGCGCAGAGAUAUGGAGGAACACCAGUGGCGAAGGCGACUUUCUGGUCUGUAACUGACGCUGAUGUGCGAAAGCGUGGGGAUCAAACAGGAUUAGAUACCCUGGUAGUCCACGCCGUAAACGAUGAGUGCUAAGUGUUAGGGGGUUUCCGCCCCUUAGUGCUGCAGCUAACGCAUUAAGCACUCCGCCUGGGGAGUACGACCGCAAGGUUGAAACUCAAAGGAAUUGACGGGGACCCGCACAAGCGGUGGAGCAUGUGGUUUAAUUCGAAGCAACGCGAAGAACCUUACCAAAUCUUGACAUCCUCUGACCCCUCUAGAGAUAGAGUUUUCCCCUUCGGGGGACAGAGUGACAGGUGGUGCAUGGUUGUCGUCAGCUCGUGUCGUGAGAUGUUGGGUUAAGUCCCGCAACGAGCGCAACCCUUAAGCUUAGUUGCCAUCAUUAAGUUGGGCACUCUAAGUUGACUGCCGGUGACAAACCGGAGGAAGGUGGGGAUGACGUCAAAUCAUCAUGCCCCUUAUGAUUUGGGCUACACACGUGCUACAAUGGACAAUACAAAGGGCAGCGAAACCGCGAGGUCAAGCAAAUCCCAUAAAGUUGUUCUCAGUUCGGAUUGUAGUCUGCAACUCGACUAUAUGAAGCUGGAAUCGCUAGUAAUCGUAGAUCAGCAUGCUACGGUGAAUACGUUCCCGGGUCU